UACGAAGGGGGCUAGCGUUGCUCGGAAUUACUGGGCGUAAAGGGCGCGUAGGCGGUGUGUCAAGUCAGGCGUGAAAGCCCCGGGCUCAACCUGGGAACAGCGCUUGAGACUGGCACGCUCGAGUUCGGGAGAGGAUGGUGGAAUUCCCAGUGUAGAGGUGAAAUUCGUAGAUAUUGGGAAGAACACCGAAGGCGAAGGCAGCCAUCUGGACCGACACUGACGCUGAGGCGCGAAAGCGUGGGGAGCAAACAGG
rnacentral:rRNA from 1 species